AACGUAGUGUGCAAUCGUUAUUCGGAACUACCGGGCGUAAAGGGUGCGCAGGCGGUUGUGCAAGACUGAUGUGAAAUCCCCGGGCUUAACCUGGGAACUGCAUUUGUGACUGCACGGCUAGAGUGUGUCAGAGGGGGGUAGAAUUCCACGUGUAGCAGUGAAAUGCGUAGAUAUGUGGAGGAAUACCGAUGGCGAAGGCAGCCCCCUGGGAUAACACUGACGCUCAUGCACGAAAGCGUGGGGAGCAAACAGG
rnacentral:misc_RNA from 1 species